rnacentral:lncRNA from 1 species
AUCUUAUUAUUUGCAUGGGCACCAGCAUUAUUUGGUAUAUUAGAUAUCAGUACUAUACUAGUAGCAAGACGUCUUCCACAGAAAACUAACAUUUCUCUUGUUUUCAGUUGCUGUGAUGGGGUAUGUUGGGGGGAACAUGUGGGGGCUCAUGUAGUUUUCUUCUUGUAGGAUUGCUCUGAGCAUUUACAAUACUAUCACUACUGUGAACCAACCAGAAGGCUGAACAAAAUAACAUUCCUCUGAUCCACUUGACCCCAGA